rnacentral:tRNA from 2 species
GGGCUCGUAGCCUAGCUAGGAUAGGGCGGCAGCCUUCGGAGUUGCAGAUCAGGGGUUCAAAUCCCCUCGGGCCCG